AGUGAUGAAUUUUCAUAAUUAAGACAUAAUUAAUUAAGCCAUAUGAAUUUGCAAAAAGUAUUUCUCAUUAAUUAAUGUGGAAAUGGGAAGGCAAAAAGAUGGGCCUCGUCAUGUUGACACCACAAAACACAAGUCACCGUCAAGCUUCAGCUUCCACGAAGUCGUCCGUGCGUCCCUCCCUCCUACGGCUUGAGCGGACCCAAUGACUGAGUAGCACUGGGUCCAGUUGUCCAAACAGAAAGGAAAGAAACUAGAAGUGGCAGGAGCCUCGUCGGCAUCGUGUAUAUGUCUGCCAGAUAGCCAGCAAAUCCACCUCCACCACUAUCCUCCACAGCAUAUCUUCUCUCUUUCGUUUCCCCUCUUUAUUUUACCAUGCUCGGAUGAUCCGCUUGUUUGCCAAGACAAUUGUACGGUUCUGAUUUUAGUUUUUGGGUUUCUUCAGGAUGAUAAGGUCGUUUGCGUUUUGCUUUCAGGUUUUGGUUUACGUUUACUCAAAAUCCUCGUUUAAAUUGCUUCAGCUUCUUGGAUUCAAACCUACGAUAUUUUUUCGCCAGGUUUACUGUUGACUGUGAUUUUGUUUGUGAUUGUUUGGGAAUUUUGAUUACGCCAUAUUAAGGCUGUUUUGUAAUUAAAAUCGAAGCAAAGUAAUAAAAAUAGGCUGUGAAUUCCGGACGACCUUGGAUUUUGUGAUUUUCUAUGGAAUGGUCUAGAAAGAAGAGUGGUGGGCUAUAGUCUAAAGGAGUUGGCAUGGAAAAAGGAUAGGUGUGAUAGAUAAGUAGAGGUGGAAAUUAAUGUUUCUAAUGUGGAAGGUUGUGAAAUUCAACGGCAAUAUUUCUAAUGAAAUGAACGUUAUUGUUUGGAAUCUCUCCCUGUACCUUCCAUUUGUCCCUUUCGGCCAAAACCCUCUCAUCCAAAAAAUAAAAACAUGUUUCUGUGGAGUAUUGAGAUUGAGGGAAUAAUGGUGAAGGUGAAAUUGCUGCAUAUCAGAAAUAAAGGACAGUGAAUUUUCUACGUGUGUGAGUGAGUGUGUGUAACUAAACGAGAGAAGGAAGAUAUAUAUUAACAACUGUUUGGAGCUGUUGUGUGGGGAUAAUACGCGAAAGAAUCGAGGAUUUUGGAGUAGCUUGGACUGGUCAGUUGUACUAGGCAUCGAACAGAACUACUGAAUCGGGGAGCUUGGAUUGAUUUGGUGUCCUAGAUCAGAUAAGCGUUUGCUCUUACUUGGCUCUAACUUCAAUGACAAGAGGCCUUAUUUAACUCUGUUUAAUACAAAUGGCUUUGAUAAAUGGUGCAAGCUUGUAUCAUAAUUAGCUAUCAAUAAACACUCACUAGUUUUUGUUAGAUGAAGUUCAAGUGGCAGAAGUGUUACUGAUCAGUUGAAACAAGCACACUUGGGAUAUGAAUAACUUUUUUUCCUUGAUAUCAUAUGGAAAUGAUAUCGAUCAGAUGAUAAAAACAGCCAUAUUAUCUUCGAGAAACCCAAAAAUGACAAGAAAAACUUAAUGUAAGGAUAUCCAUCUCUGGUCUUGGCUAGUUCCUUUGAAUCUAUGUUGCUUGUUGUUUGUGUACUUGUGCUUUCAGUGCCUGCAAAACUUCUGCUACCUUCAUUAUCUACUUCUCAGAGCAUAAUAUAAGGCCUCCUAUUCUCGUGUUAUUUUUUUUGAUAGGUAAUAAGUAAUUUUAUUGAUAUAAGGAUGGGCAUAGCCCAGGUACACCUAUUCUCGUGUUAUUAAUUGCCUCUACAACACUCUUAAACCCUUAGAGGAGGUUCUUAUGCCAUGUAUUUUGUUAAUAAUCACGUUUGCUAGGUUGAUCCCACUUUCAAGUGCGGCACCUAUCAGUCGUACCACCAACCACGUUUAUGACUUAUUUUUAAGUUUGUGACCAUGUGGACCAUUUUAAAUUGGCUGAUGAUUUUUCAGGUAUUAUUUGGUGAUUCCUGUGGAGCACAUUCCAACUGUAAAAGACCUCCAAUGGAGAACUGAAGACUACUCCUUAGUAAGUCACAUGUUAGAGGUUAAGCAAAUGCCAUUGUGCCGAGAUGCACCUCAGAGCACAUGGUACAGGUAUUGUCUUUUGUGUAUGAAGAAUACAUUCAGUAAGCUCUUCUUUUAAUUAAAGAUAAAGGUUUCAGAAAUAUUGCAGAUCUGAAAACUUGGAUGUAUCAAUUUAUUUAUAUUUUUGUUUAAUUGUUUCUACUGUUUAUCUGUUGUUUCUUUGAUGUUGUUUUGUUCUACUAAUAUUUUGGUGGAAUUCAUAUUAUCGGUAGUAUUUAAUAUAAACACUGACCAGUGAUUGACGUAGAUGUCCAUAUAUUUGCUUGUAAUUUGGGCUACAUUAAUUAUCUGUGUUUGCAAGUUUUGAUUGUCUCAUUUUUAUCAUUAAUUAUACACAAUAUUUGGGGUCCAUGGAUUUGAAUAAGAGCAUGCAUGAAGAAUUAAUCUGGGAACAAGCAAGUGAGAGCACUACAAGAACAAGGACUUUUUCUGGUGACAAUUUGUCUUAAAAGACAUGAUAAGUCAGAAUACAUCAUACUUCUAAAUACCAUAUAAAUUUUGAAAAAUCAGUGGUUCUAACCCAACACAACACCUAGAGGGGGGUGAAUAGGUGUAAUUUAAUUUUACUACACUAUUUAAAAAUGUUGUCAAACAAGCAAUCUAUCAAUGAAACAAUUCACAUAAAAAUAAUCAAUACAACAAUUUGGUCACGAAGUGGAAACUUAUUUGAAGAACAUCUUCAAAGUCUAAAACCACUCUGAGUGUAAGUCACCACCUAAAAUCCACUAUAGAAAUUUAGUUUGUUACAAACAAUUUAGAAACACUCACAAGACCCUUGUAGUAGCUAAAUCUGGCUUGCAACAUCACAAGUGACCCACUCGAUCUCUGCACGCAUGCAGUUCUGGAACUCCGGCCUUUCUAUAGCUUUACCACAAGAACCCCACGAGAACCUCUCGAUCUUUGCUUCAUCGGCAGCUCUGAAAUCCCUUCUAGCCAACAAACGAGUCCACACCAAUGGACUCAAUAGUGUUUGAUCUUAAGUGCAAUAAGAUGGAGAUAUAUUUUCCCAAAGAAAAUGAGCUUCCGGCCUUUCUAUAGCUUUACCACAAGAACCCCACAAGAACCUCUCGAUCUUUGCUUCAUCGGCAGCUUUGAAAUCCCUUCUAGCCAACAAACGAGUCCACACCAAUGGACUCAAUAGUGUUUGAUCUUAAGUGCAAUAAGAUGGAGAUAUAUUUUCCCAAAGAAAAUGAGCUUUGGAUGUGGAAUGGUAUUUCUCUCAAGUGUUCUUAAAAGGCCCUCUAUUGCUGCUCUAUAUCUCCACAUGUUUGAACUAAGUCGAAGUUUCCUUUUAUAGCCACAAUGGAACAUGGUGCUGAAACCCUAGUCAAAGUCAUAUUUUUUAACAUUCGCUCAAGCACACAUUAUAUCCAAUAUUUGCUUGGGCCAUGAGUCGAAAGGGUGUCGAGCAAACUCUCUGUUUGGGUUACCACUCGAGUGCUAUGUCGAGUGGUUGAGUGAACUCUCUAUAUGAACGUCCACUUGAUCGCCAUGUCGAGCGAGUGUCGAGUGAACUCUCUAUAUGAGCUUCGCUCGAGGCAUGUUGAGCUGACUUCUAUCCCUUUUCACUUUAUCCCACUUAAAACUGUUACAACACAAUUUAACACAGGUUGUCACAUGAAUAUGCCAACACACUUAUUUUAUAGUAACAAAUAUUUGUGCCUUAUACAAUGAAUUGAAUGAGAAUAUAAUCAAAGCUAUAAUAUUUUGUACUUAAAGAACAUGCACAUUUAAACUGGAUCCAAGCACAGAGAGAAUCCUCUCCAUGUUAGUCAGCACAGUCUUUUAGAUCAGACUAAGCGUAAAUGUAUAAUUAGGAGUUAGUAAUCUUUAGCAUGCACUGUUGUAAUACUGACUUUGCCAUCCUUUGAUCAAUAUAAUUUGUUUAUUUAUCAAAAAAAGAUCUAGCAUGCACUGAAGUGUUUUCGAACAUUGAAGCUAUCAUGGAUUUGCCACCAGCAAGUAGCUUAUGUCGAAAGCACUUAAAAUAAUUACUCGAUAGACAAUAUUUAGAUUAACUUCUCACAUCAUAAAGAUGGUGCCAUAGGGGCGGCUGCUGGCAAUUAGCAACACUUAUUAGACAAGUAAUUCACUGCAAACAGUCCUAAAAUCGAACGGUAAGCUGAAUUGGAUUUUAUGUCAUUUUACAAACAUUUUGCCUAGGGCUUUGAAUGGGCUUGAUCAAUUUGAGUAUUGGUGUGCUCAUUUAUCUUUGAGUUGUCUUGAGCAAGCCUUUGAAUAAAUCUAUGGCCACUGGAGCUUGAGCAGAUUGAUUCUUUUUAAAAGUUGAGUCAAGCUGAGUGAAAGGUUGCUCAAGAUUGGUGUUUUUUAUAUGGAGACUAGUUGGAGGCUUCUCAAAUAGACCUUUAAAAUUUGAUUUUUUGAUGCGCUUAAACAACUUGACUUCUUUUACAGCCAUGGUUUUGCAUUUAAGUUUGUUUACGAGAAGGAGAUCCUCUCUCGUGACAGAUUUGGCUUUCAUCAGCCUCCUUUAAACUCUAUUAAUCAUGUACACCUUCACUGUUUGGCGCUACCCUACACACCGAGGUUAGUUUUGUGGUAUUUCUUUGGUGCUCUAUAUUAUUAAUCAGUUGACAUUGUUCUUUAAGGUUGCAAAAGUACCUUUCAUUCUUGACGAGCUUGAACAGAUGGAAAAGUAUAAAACUCUUGUCUCGGGGGUCGAUUGGAUUUCUUGAAGCUGAUAAGUUAUUGGAGAAGCUAAAGCAUUUGCCACCUGUUAUUUCAAAACUUUGAUUCACUCAUAAUUUGGGUCCAUUAUACAAAGCAAAGAUUUGGAUUUCGCCAAUAAGCUUCGGAGUGUUCUCUGAGGUUCGUUUAUAUGGAUGAGCAUGGAAAAGAUCGAGUUAGCAGUAUCGAUGAUGCCUACUAAUUUCCUAUCUUUCAUUGAGGAACAUCUAGACAGAGGCAUCUGUAUCUAAACAUUAGUAGGAUUUGUGGCCAUUGAUAUACAGUUUCUAGGAUAGGGAAGUGGCAUGUGUAGCCAGAUGUGUGUAAGAAAGAGAACAAGACAAUCUGCUUUUGGUUUUUGCCCAUCUCUCCUAAUCCUGCCGAGGUAUGGGAUGGAUGUUUGUGAAGUAGUUCCUUCACAAACCAGACUUUGUUCAGAGUUGCUUAUUGUUCUCAGUACAUUUCACAUUUUAGGCAUUGA